UAUGGAAGCCUAUUUUGUUGUAUUUGUUACAAUGGAAUAAAUAUAUGUAUUGGUAAAACAGUGCAUAGCAACUUUUAAUUUGUCAUUGGAACCACAAUUGGACUAAUUAGAAAACAGUUUUGGAAAGUAGAUACCUAUUGAAAAACUCAUCAAGCAAUUAUAUGACGGCAGUAUGAUAUUGAUCUACAUUGGAGACGGGCAGGUGCUCGUACGUCCAGGUGUAUAAAUAUAUAAUAAGGAAAUGGUUGUUGUGCCAGGAUUGUGCGCUUUAGUGAAAUCUCAACAAGAUGGCAAUUCCAGUGAUUCUUAUAUAAAUGAAUUGCAAAAAAUCAAUUUGGAACCGGUAGUCAUUCCAGCCUUGGCGUUCACGUUUAUUAAUUCCGAUCGCUUAUUGCUUUGCCUGCAACAAUUUGACAAAUAUGGCAGCCUCAUUUUUACAAGUUCUAGAGUCGUAGAAGCCGUCGUUAAUGCUUUAAAUCUGGUUGACAAAGGUAAUUUUAAUUUUAUAUCUAACAUUAAUGAUCAUCAUAAAAAAUAUUUUAAGGUUUAUUAAUUUACUUAUAUUAUUGAUAGAAAUUUUUUACAAAGCAAAGGUUUACUUAUAUAAAUGUGUGUAUAUUUUCUUGGCUGCCUAAAUG